rnacentral:tRNA from 1 species
GCCUCUGUGGCUUAAUUAUGUGAUUUUUAAUUACGUAAGGCUAAGCGGUAUAGCAGCAGACUUGUAAUCUGCAGAUCGGGGGUUCAAGUCCCCCCAGAGGCU